rnacentral:snRNA from 1 species
AUACUUACCUGGCAGGGGAGACACCAUGAUCAGGAUGGUGGUUUUCCCAGGACGAGGCUCAUUACUUGCACUCUGGAUUUGCUGACCCCUGCAAUUUCCCCAAAUGCAGGAAACUUGACUGCGUAAUUUGUGGUAGUGGGGGUCUGUUAGCUCUGUUUUUA